rnacentral:snoRNA from 1 species
GGGUCUGUAACGAAAUCUUUGUCUUGUCUCUAUAGAGGUGUUGUCUUAAAAGUCUUGCACAAUAGAGUUAUGUUGUGACCU